CAGUCGCCGCGGGAAUACGAAGGGUGCAAGCGUUAAUCGGAAUUACUGGGCGUAAAGCGUGCGUAGGCGGUGAGUUAAGUCUGCUGUGAAAUCCCCGGGCUCAACCUGGGAAUGGCAGUGGAUACUGGCUCGCUAGAGUGUGUCAGAGGAUGGUGGAAUUCCCGGUGUAGCGGUGAAAUGCGUAGAGAUCGGGAGGAACAUCAGUGGCGAAGGCGGCCAUCUGGGACAACACUGACGCUGAGGCACGAAAGCGUGGGGAGCAAACAGGGUUAGAUACCCCCGUAGUCCCUGUCUCUUAUAC
rnacentral:rRNA from 1 species